CUUAAGCGGUCUGGAUGUUAGGAAGUGUUUGGCGUCGUGAAGGAAAUACCUGCCAACGUAGAGAAGGGUCGACGGAAUCUUGGAAGUGAUGAGGUGAUGCCUUCCUUUACUCUUGGGAAACUGCAGCCGGCGGAUGAAGCUUGUCCUGGCAAGGGCACCUGGAGCCACUCCUAAUAAACUCCUGGAAUAUCUCCUCAAACUUUGGGGAAAAAGGAUGCCUACAGUAAAUGAGGUGGAGAUGAUGGAAAUUCCUUGGCAGAGGAAGGGGUCAAAGGCACAGAAAGGCGGGCCUAUUAGAACUGACUUAUUUGUGCAACACCAGAGAAUCACCAGAUGACUAUGUUUCUCAGGAAGAUGGUACUGAUGCUGGUCAGCUGUUGUUUACUUGGAUGUGUCAAUGCCAAGUUUGAAGUGACUGAACAACUGGCUUCUAUGAAUAGUCUGUGUUGAGCUACAAGCAAGAAUAUUUUCAAAGAAGUUGAGAAAAUUUCGAAUUUAGUACAACCUGAAGUGGAAUCUGCUAAGAUGUAUACAACUCCUGGUGAUAAAAAUUGGUGUGGAGCAGGAAAAGGCUUAGUUGGACAAAUUUACAAAGCUUGUGGAAAAGAAGGAUAUUAAAGACCGUGAUUAUUCUUUGUGUGAUUCAUCAGCAGAUACUUCAAAGGCAAUAUUUGAAUGUAUCAUGAGUUAUUGAACCAAUACUGUAAAAAAAAUUAACUUUAUUCACUCU